GAUGAACGCUGGCGGCGUGCCUAAUACAUGCAAGUCGAGCGAACAGACGAGGAGCUUGCUCCUCUGACGUUAGCGGCGGACGGGUGAGUAACACGUGGAUAACCUACCUAUAAGACUGGGAUAACUUCGGGAAACCGGAGCUAAUACCGGAUAAUAUAUUGAACCGCAUGGUUCAAUAGUGAAAGACGGUUUUGCUGUCACUUAUAGAUGGAUCCGCGCCGCAUUAGCUAGUUGGUAAGGUAACGGCUUACCAGGGCAACGAUGCGUAGCCGACCUGAGAGGGUGAUCGGCCACACUGGAACUGAGACACGGUCCAGACUCCUACGGGAGGCAGCAGUAGGGAAUCUUCCGCAAUGGGCGAAAGCCUGACGGAGCAACGCCGCGUGAGUGAUGAAGGUCUUCGGAUCGUAAAACUCUGUUAUUAGGGAAGAACAAAUGUGUAAGUAACUAUGCACGUCUUGACGGUACCUAAUCAGAAAGCCACGGCUAACUACGUG
rnacentral:rRNA from 1 species